GAUCUGACAGGUUAAUGGGAGCUGACCCCUUAAAUGCCGGCCUCUUGGGUAUGCAGUACACUGAUCGCCAACCAUGGCAUUGCAUCUUGAAUCCUGUUAAUAUAUCCUCUGUAACAGAGCCAUAUAUCCACCCAACCUGAUUCAUAAUUCAAAAUCUGGAAUUUAGAUACAGAUGAAAAAAAGUUUACACCUUGUUUGGAAGGGACUGGAAAAGCUAGAAGCUUUUAAAUUUUAGACAGAUGCUUCUUACCUCUUUCCCCCAUUCUGUUUUAUCUUCAUAACCACAGCUAAUGACAUGGAUGGCUUCUUUCAAAAGUGAAGCAGUGGUUGCUCCUUUUGGAACACCACCUUCUUCUAAAAGCGUGGAAGCUAUAAAAACCGGAGACUGUCCAAAUUUUUUCUCAAAUUUCACUUGGGGCAUGAGCAAUGAUCUGUCAUUAUCUAUUCCUGCAAUAUAAAUUCCACAGUAAUAUUACUACUUUGGCUUUAAAAGCAGUAGACCUGAAGCAAGAAAACCAGUGUCCCCCCAAUAAUUACUACCUUGAAUACACAUAUUGAGUUAACUAAAAAAACAAUAAUAGAAAAUUCAAAAAAUCAACUUCACAUGGGAAAAGUUAUACACAACAUUGUUGCCAAUUAAUUAAGAUAAAUUAGGAAUUUUGAAGGUCAUUUAAGAAUUACUUGAAAUAUCUAGAAUACAACAAAAAAAAUGCAGAUAAUAAGACAAUAUGAUUGCGGUUAAUGAUUAAAAAUUGGGAAUUUUUCAUAUUAUUAAGAAUUACUUGAAAUAUCUAGACUACUUGCAAAAGUAAAUAACAAUUGCAUAUAUUAGAAUAAGACCCAUAUUUCCUUCAAAGCCACCCUUACCUUCAAUUCCCUCUUCAAUAUUUUCGAGUGCAUGUAUUUGCUUUGAAGCUUCCCUGUUUUUCAUCUUCUUCUUUUUGUCAGUUGACUUCACUUUCUUGUUUUUCUUCCUUGAUCCACAACACAAGCAGCACCAUUUUGGCCAACAAUUACACGUCUUUCCUGGGGGUUUCUUAUUGACAGGGGCAUCAUAUCCAUAGAGUGCCUGCCGUCUGAAGACACAGCCAGUUCCAACAUAAAUUGGUCCCUGGAUCCCAUCCAAACCUUUCAUAUUGAUCUGUUUUUAAUUGAAAACAAAAAAUUAGCUUUCCUCAAUCAAAAUUUUACAAAUUCACAUCUGUGCAUCAUUGUAUCAAAUUCACACUGGAGUGCCUUACGUACAUCAAAGAAUACAACGUUGCGAUUUGAGUAUCUAUCAUUGCGAUCAAUCCCAUCAAACCUUUGAGGAAACUGUACAUAACAGAUUUUCUUUCCUGAUGUGGGGUCCAUCAUGAAGCACAUGGCUUCACGAAGGGCCUUACUGUUGUUUAUAUAGUGAUCACAGUCCACGUUCAGUAGGUAAGGAGCAUUAGAGAUGAUUGCUGAGACUCGCAUCUUGAAUAAACAGUCAAAACAAUAGCCCCCAAUCAGGAAAUGGGAAAACAAAAAAUGGGAUCCCAAAGAAAAAGAAUGAGAGAGAGAGAGAGAGCUCUACCAAAGCAUUCAUUGCCCCAGCUUUUUUGUGGUGAUCAAAUCCCGGUCUCUUCUCACGAGACACAUAAACUAGACGAGGCAACUCAUUUCCUUCAACAUCACGAACACCAUUAUGACCAAGAAAAACCUGUGCAAGGCAAAAAUAGAGAAAAAAAUCUUUUAAUGUCUCAAAUCUCAGUAUGUAGAAGGUCCAGCAAGAUGCAUGCUGCUCAGGCACAAAAAUCCAUGAAUGCACUCGAAGAAAGAAAUCACCCCCUCACCUGGAUCAUUCCAGGAUGGUCCCUGACAUUGUUCCCAGGCCAUGGAGUCCCAUCCUGCAUUGUCCAACCUUCCUCGGGGACCUUCUGGGCCAUAGAAACCAAUGCAUUUAUCCGAAUUUUGAACUCUUCAUACUCCCUCUGCACCAAUCAGGAACCAAAUAUUAUUGUUUUGAAAUCAACUUAUUGCUCUCAGCAAUGGUUAUCAUGGCAAUACUUUGUCAAAGAUAAAAAAUCAUCACAACAGGACAUCUUUUAUCACUAAAUUCUAAAACUUGUCCUCCACAAGCCAUUUUAAUGAUGCAUAUUUAAUGCCACUCUAUAUGGUUUAAGAUGGCAUUUUGUUUAACCCGCAUGCAGCUUAUAUAGAAUGCACAUUCAUUGGACCAAAAUAUGAACAGAUAAAGAUACAAGGUGUUAACCUUCAUUGCACGACGUUCCCUAACAAACUCCGGAUGCACUUUGUCUUUCAGAUAGUCAACCUUCUGAGCAAAGUACCAUUCUGGGGCCCUCGGCUCAAUGCUGAACUUCUUACAGAAUGGGACCCACCUCCUAGCAAACUCAGAUGUCUCAGAAAGGGCUUCAAAAGUAAGCAUGGCAGCACCAUCAUCUGAGACAUAGCAUGCAACUUUCUCGACUGGAUAAUCUACUGCAAGGAUUGACAGAACUGUGUUUGCUGUGAUAAGUGGAGGUUCUUUCAUGGGAUCAACUGUACUUACGAAUAUGUCUAUAUCAGCUAAUUCAGAUGGCUUCCCUUCUUUUUCAUACCUGAGAACAAGGUUUAAGACGCAUAGCUAAGAAAACAGUACCAUGCAUACAACCAAACAAGAGAGAGAGAGGGAGAGAGAGCACCCCAAAUACCUCAGUGAUAGCCUAUCAAGGUAUGUUUCCCGCUCGAUUGGGUACCACUUUGGGAACUGAUCCAGUAUCCAUGAUACAGCAAACCAUAUUUCACAAAUAACUGAUGUUAACCAUAAUGCAUAUGCAUCAUUAACCGGGUGGAGGAUUCUAUAAUGAAAGAAGAAGCCAAGAAUCACAAGCCGGAGUAUAAUUAUGAUUCUGUAUGGAUUUAUCUUGCUUGAAGGAAUUGGUAUUUUUCUAGAUAGAGGUUGCCUGCCUUCAUCCAUCCUACAUAAAAAAACAAAAAUAAAUAAUAAGUCCUUCACAUUCAAAUAAGAGAAAUGGGGAAAACACAAAUAAUGGAAAGAGGAAUGUGAUGUUCAGUUCCUAAUUAAAUUGAGAUAAUGCUUUCUAUACCACCUCUACUCAGACUAACACAAGGAAAUUUUAUUUCAUAAGAUAUUGUUACUGUUCCCAAUAGGUGAAGACUUCUAACUGUCAGCAAUGAGCAUGUCAGACAUUCAUCAACUUGACAAACAGUUCUGAUACCUGUUUACACACUGACAAAUGCGUCCACAUUCAUUUUUUGAAGAAACAUGGAGACAAACAUGUUUGUAGUGCAUUUUUGUUGCAAACACAUGAAAGCAUUUGCAAAACUAUAGAUGUAGCUAUCUCCCAAUAGCUAUGCUUCAGGAGUUUCAUACAAAAAUGUGCAUGUAGCUGUUUCCAAUGUGCAUUUAGCUUUUCUGAUUCUAAUGAUAAUUGUUUUCUAAAUGGAUUGUUAAUUGACUCACACCUACAUCCCUUCCAAGUUCAAGUUAACCACUUUCAUGCCUCUAACAUGUAUGAACAACAAUUAAUAUAUUCAGCUCACUAGCAAGUAGCAACCCCAAGUUCAAUCACAUGUUAGUUAACAAAUGUUUAACAUCAUAAAUUUCAUCACCCAAUAAUUUUGUUAUACAUUGAUCCAUAAGCGACCUAUUUCUCAUUCAAAUUCUGCCAAAAUUUUAACUUAUGGGCCAUGCCCAUAAAGGUGGUGCUCCACUGCUCACGUCCCUUCAACUUUCAAUGAACAGCAUCUAAGCAGUUUUAUUUUUUUUUCCUUUUUAAGCUUUUACCAUGUAAUACUAAAGUGGGCUUUCACGUCCAUGACAUGUUAGAUCUUCAUAGUAGUAGCGUUGAAUUUCUCAUUAACACAUGUUUACUUUGUUCACAUGCAUUGCAUGUGCCAUGGUCCCCUAAUGAACGAAUACGACCAAUUUACGGUUUUGAUAAAUGACAAAAAAUAUCUAGCAAAUGACCUCAUUUCAAUCUUGUCAAGGUUAAAAAGUUGAUGCUUCAUAUUGCUCCAAUAACUUGCACUCUUGUAUUACAUUUAAUCUUAACACAAAGCCACCGACAAUGCUCUAUUUGAGGCAAUUUCUUUCACCCAAGAAAAGAACAAAAAUAGAAAUGAUAAACUCGCAGGUGAAUAACAAUGCUGUUAGCCUGAGAGCUUAAGUUACCAAAAAACAGUUUGAUGCAUGAAAAGAAUUCAAGAAAUAGUACUUUAAAAUCCCAAAUUAUACUAAGCUACGAAGAAAAAAGUUACAGGAGAAGAUGCAACAAAUAGAAUAUGGUGAAGCAGUGAUUGAAAAAAUGCACCUACUUGGGCAAAUCAGGAUCAUCCAGUUCAUCUUCAUCAAAGUUUCCACCAUCAUUUCCUCCUUGGUGCUUAACAACCUGAAGUUUAUCAUUCUGCUUUUUCUUCCACUCUUCCAUUCGGUCCUUCCACGCAACACUUCCAUACCCAUAUACUGCCAGGUCUUUCUUAGGAUCCAUUGGUCUGGGUGGCACUGCAACAACAAAACCAGAAGGCACAAUAAAUAUGAUGAAGUAAAUGUGAAUAGACAUAACAGUGAGAAAAGGGUUCAAUUCCACAUAAAAACUAAUGAGGAAUAACAAGACUUACAGGACAUAGAAGAAUCAGGAAAUGGCAUAGGAUGGACUCGUUUUCCACGCCCCAUGAAUGGAGGAAUGAUAAGGGCGUGCUUAUCAGAGGAAAUCCCGACAUCCUUCAUUGAAAACAAGCAAACAACUAUUAUCAUAAAACAGGAAUCAUUAAUUAUAUGAACAUAGAAAUGGAACGAUGAAUAAAAAAUGCGAGUGUUAAAUCAACUUACAUAUUGGCCAUAGGUCAGAAGAGGGAUUCCUGAAGGGACUGAUGAAGAAUCCAGAUCCAAAGGCGUACUAAUCCCUGAAGUAUGGGCAUGGCUGCCGAUGUUCAGGUGAGCAGAGAGCAUAGCCUCUGCAACCUGAUGAGGAUCCCUACUGUAAUUGCUUCUGAAAUCAAACUCAUUCUCCAAAUCAUCAAUGUCAUCUUCCUCUUCAUCCCCUUCAACUCUGGGACUACCUGAUGUUUUAAGUGUGCUAUUAGUGGAAUCAUCACCAAGUAGAGUGGAGUUUGGGAUGAAAAAACACAGAGUAAUAGAAAAGAGACAGAGUCAACCAAGAAAUUAUAGAAACCCUUUACCUUUGAUGCGUUUGUAUCUGGUUUUGCAUUGAGGGCAAGCUUGAUUACCCUCCCUUCUUUCAUACUCGUAGCAGGGUCUGCAUACAGGGAAUGCACAUUCAUUACAGGCAACGAAUGGCUCCCCAUCCACAGUAAUCUCUAUCUCAUCCCCACAAAUCUGACAAAUCUGCCCACUCAAUUCUUUCACGGAAGUCACCUGUAUGUCACAGCAAAGUCAAUCGGCAUUAGGUCAUGAAAACUGGAUUUUUUGCUCAACAACCCCAGAUAGAAUAUUGAAGCAGCAUAUGAUUUUUAAACUACUCAUUCACACAUACAAAAACACACACACACACAUAUGCAGAAAUAAAGUAUAAAAUUUUGGUGCAGACCUGUAUGAAACAUAGAAAAUAAGGGGAAAGGUAUGGAUUUGUGAAAGUACAGAGUUCCAGAACAAGCAUGAGCAAAAGAGCUAAAAGAGUCAUGAAAAUGAAAAGGGAAGUAAAAGCCAUCCCAUUCAAGAAUCACACCUUUAAAAACAGGAACUUGGAUCAGAGGGAAAAAAAUUAAUGGAAGAUAGUGUCACUAACCCAAGAAGGAAAUGGCAGAACCCACAAAAGCUAAAUACAGAAAAUAAUGGAAAAAAAAUGUUAUGAGAACAAAAUAAAAUCACUGUAACAGAAAAUGAGCAAAUGGAUGUCUUCAAAAUCAAGAAAUGGGGCUGACAAAAAGUUUCAUAGACAAGAAGAACGUCGGAAGAAAAAAUAGAGAAAGCACAUUUUUAGAUAUUUUUCUUAAAAUCCAGAAAUGGAGUCGAUCAACGAGUUGAAAUAAAAAAAUAGAAUUAAAAAAAGGAGAGAUUUUGAAGGAACUUACUCGUCCAAUCUCAUCAGCAUUGAUCAGAACAAACUCGUUCCGGUUGUGUGAACCCGCCACGAGUCUUCCUUUGGUAUCCAUGAAAGCCCUCAAGAAUCAGACCCAGAUAGAACCCCAAAUGCUCGAAAUCAAGAAGACCCACCUCACGAUAUCAAUCUCCCAACCCCUCUCAUGCGCAAGAAGCAGACUUUUUUUUUUUUCUCUCCGCCUCUCCCUUUCAGCUCACUUUCUCACAAAAUAACCCAACCCCACAUCACACAAUGAACAAAUUCACACCCUAGAUAGAGAGAGGGAGAUGCAAACAAUAAAAAAGAAGAGUGGGGAAAACAACAAAAUGAGAAAAAAGUAUCACUGUUUUUGUUUGAUUGUUCCUCAAAGAAAACCCAAUGUUUUUAAACGUAACAGAUGGGUGGGUCUCUCAGAACUCAGAAGUGGGUAGAGCCGAUCCGUGACACGGGGUUGCAGAUGAUGUUAGAGAGAGAGAGAGAGAAAGAAAGGAAUCUAUUGGGGCGUUGAAAUUUCAACGCGUAUUGCACAAGAGCGCCCUCCUAAUUCAUGGCUUUAUCAUCAACAUUGGGGUGGGGCUCAGAUUUUGAUGGCAGUGGUGCCUCUGCUGGUGGUGGGUGGUGGUGGCCCACCUGAGCUACGGUGGCACACGGUGGGCGACGACUAGGGCACUCUCGUAAUUCUAUCCCUUUUGCCUCCCCCUUUUUUCUUUUUUUCUUUUUCCUAAUUUAUUUACUCAUUUCCAUUAAAACAAAAUAAAUAAUAAAUAAAAUAAAAAAUAAAAAAUUAGGUGUUUCCUUUUCUUAGAUGUUGAUGUGAUGUAUCUCCCUCACGGCUUUUGUGUGUCCUGUUGUGCAAUAAAAUUAAAAAUAAAACCCCCAAAAAAAAAAAAAAAAAGUAGAGCUAGAGAGAGAAUGAGAGUGGAGUUUUUACUUUUUAGAGAGAGAAGGUGGAGGGUUUAGAGAGAGAGAGAGAGGGACAGGAUUUUACAAUGGGAGGAAAAAAAGGGGCAAGUGACAAACAGCGGGGAGGAGUUUAUGAGUUGUAAAGGCUCCACGUGCGGCACGUGUGGAGGAACCCGAGAUCUGGGCGAUUUAUCGCGAUAAAUUGAAGAGGAAAUAGACAAAGUGACGGUGAUUGAUUCUUUCUUUGCAUUUUUGGAACGCCUUCACUUUUACGUGCAUUAAAAGACAAGGAAAGUCUUGGGUGUGAGUGCUCACUGCUCACGCCCCUUCCCCUUGGACCACCACACCCCCACCCCAUCAUCCUACAAAUUUUAAUCAUCCCAUAAUGUAGCAGUGACGCACCAUCGUUGUUAAUUAUUUUACCUAUCUUACGUAACGUCAAAAGGAUAUUUGAUAAAAAUAAAAAAAAAAUUAAAAAAAAAAAGUCCAAGGGACAUGAAAGAUCAUGGUAAAGGUUUUUCCAUACAAGAAGGCCAAGUAACCGUUGGCAAUACCUUUUGAUUUUCAGCAACGGUGGGCUCUUCAGAGUAAAGCUUUUAUACUGACUUUAUACCUAACACAGCACAUUCCAGCCCUUUACUUGACCUUUUCAAACAGCUUACAUACAAAAUAUGCAAUUUUCUACACUGGGUUGUUCUACAAAGUCCGAAAAGGAUUGAGCAGCUGAUUUGCAUUCGGGUUGUUCUUUAGACCGAGACAGAUAGUAUUUUCCAAGGCAAAAAGGCUUUACUGUGAAGAGACGGUGACAAGUAUUUAAAUAGUAGGCAAGUGGGGUGGUUUUUGGAUGGCCUUUUUUCCAUUAAUAUUUUGUAUUGAAUGGAGGGUCUGUGUGUCUAUUCAUAAGUCGGUGAAUAAACCGUACCAUGGUGUGGUGAGUGGUCUCAUGCCUCAGUGACAUCAAUGCACUCUCUCAUGCCCCCUGCAGAGGUUAAUAACUGUACUGAAUCCGUCCAUAUCCACCAUCUGAUCUAUAUACUAUGGGUUUCCACUGAUUGGAUGGGAAUGGGGGGUGGGGGGUGGUCUAUUGUUGUUUUCAGUGGUCCUGACUCCACCUGAUGGUGUGGAGUGGGUACAUUGAUGGUAACAAACUAGGGAAGGGCAUUAUCAGUUUGAUUGAAACCAAUCACAUUUGUAGUCUGUGGUCUACCUGCCUUUUGGGGUAUGGACUCUCAUUGAAUCUGAUGAAGUAGUUGGAGACUUUAUGUCUAUUAUCUUAAUGGCACUAAUUAAUUGGCAUCUGGGGUUGGUAAAAUUGUAACUUUUUGGGGCAUGGCUGUAUGAUAGAAACCAUAGAAUCAUUGUGUGAUGGGGUGGUAACAUUUAUUUUAAUGUUUUUUGACAUGCAUUAAAGUAAAUUAGCAAAAAACAAUUCAUGGGUUUUUGAAUUCUCACCCGAUGAGAUAUUGGGCAUAUUCCCAUUUUUGUCCCAAUUAGAAUCCUCACAUUGGAUUACAGUUGUUUACAAAAAUCAGACUUAUUUUUGUUCUCAGAGGUAGAUUUUUCAACCACAUAUUUCUUCAAAUUGGGAAAAUCUAAAACAGAAUUAUAGCUCAUUUUUUUCCAAAAAUAAAAAAAUAAAAUAUCAUUAUUAUACAAAAACCAGUUUAGGAAUAAUCUAAGUUUUCAAAAAAACAAAUUAUUUUUGUAAACCUUUCCAAAUUAAUAACUAUUUUUUAAAAUAAUUAUAAAAAAUAGUUUUUGGAAACAAUUUUUUAAAACUGUUAUUAAAAUAUGUUUGAAAACUUAAAAUGUUUUUAACUUAUUUUUAAUCAUUUUAAAUAUUUAUAUAUUUAUUUUUUAAAAUACCUCUAAAAAAAAGGUAAAAAUAACUAAAGUGUAUUAUUUAAAAAUAUUGUAUUUUUUAUUUUUAAGAAUAAAAAAUAAAACAUAAUUUUUAAUUAUUAAACAAAUUUUUCAUAUUGUUAUUUUAAAGAAUAGAAAACUGUUUUAAAUAUCGAGGUUGUUGUGAUUGCAUGACUGCUUGGUUAAAUUGUGGCUGCUAAAUUUGCAAAUGAUCAUGAUUAAUAUCUUAAUCGUGUGUAGGAAGCUGUCGCCUGUACAAGAGGUGAGAGUGAGACAGUGAUGAAAAUACGAGUUUUAGUUUUGAUGAAUGACAAAUCCCUCCCAUUUUCAUCACUGCCCUUCACCUUUUUCUAUGCAAACACUUGGUCCAAUAGAAAAGGUGAAAUCAAUAAUAAAAGGGUUGAAAAAGCAAAAGCAGAAGGAGAUCAAUAAUUGCCAGCAAGGUGGAUUGGGCAUCAGAUCUCUUAUAUGCAACUCAACCUCUACUUCUCCAAUUGCCCCCCUCCUUUUCAAGGGCAUGGUCCUAUCACCUAUGUGGGUCACUCUCCCUUUACUUCCAUCAUGCCCAAAAUCCUUUCCCUCUAGGCUCUAUGAUGCCCAAUAACUUAAGUAGAAGUUCACCUUUAUUAUUUUUGGGCAUUAUUGGUACUAACUAUAUGUUGUAGUUACAAGCCAUUCUAUUUAUGGUAACAUUCUUUUUUAUCACCCUUCCAUCUUAAUCCAACUCAAAUUAACCUAUCAAUUAUUUUGUGGUUUCAUUUUAUCUUAUUUUUGAGAAAUCUAAAACUUAUUCUUACGUUUUAUGCAGAUUUUUAUAUCCGUUUAACUAAUCUUAUUUAAAUUAAUUUACGAUUUAAGUCAAAAUCCGAAACUAUCCCAAAUGAGACGUGAGUAUUAUUUUAUUAUUCUAUAUUACGGGAUAAUUAAUUUUGCGGGUUUUAAUAAAAUUUUAAAUUGUUUACAAAUGAAAUUUAGUUGAACGAAAGGCAUGUGAAGAGCAUCCUUGGAUGUUAAUAGUAUACAAAGAAGGAGUUGAUUGACUGCUAAUACCAAUGAUCUUAACUUGCCUUUUGCAUUGGGCGGUCGGCUGCCAUCAUUAACUAAUGAUCUAUGAUUGAGUAUAUUCCAAUACUGUACACGUGUCCUCCAUCCGCUGCACUUCUACAAAAGUGGACGGUUCUCAAGUACCCAGGAGCAAUUUUUUAAUUAGCACUCGCUUUACCAAAUCUGCCGCAUCUUUUCCCAAACACCAGGGUUUGGCUUCGUAAACAAGACUCAGCAACCAAAUUAAAAAUAAGUGAGUGAAACCCUGAAGUACGACGACACGUGGGAUCACAGCUGGAGUAGCAAUCAUGCCUUCCACUGGGUAGUGUGAUAUGCCACGUUGGCAAAAAGUGGGUGUCCCAGAAAACGUGUAAUGAUGGUGGAUUAUAUUGGAAAAGCAACUUUUCCACGUGGCAUGGCACGCCACGUCGAUAGCGUAGAGGGCUUUAUUACAACUGGAAGACAUCUGGCACGCGUUUUUGUUGUAAAUUGUCUGGCAGAAGUGGGCCACGUGGUGCCAGAGUAGGUCCACAGACAGCUCAGCGACUGGGAUUGUCGGUCGCUUUCGCUAGCUGUAAAUCAUCAUAAGCGGAGAAGCGUCCGUAUGCGGAUGACGUCAUUAUUAGAAACGAUUUUAUAGAAAUGAAAGUAAUUUUUGUUGGGUGGUGGGUGAGAUUUUUGAAUGAAAGUUCGAGAAAGUAGGGAGGGAGAGAGAAAGGAAAAAAAAAGUUUAAAAAAAGGCGGGACAGCGUGGCGGGCAUUUUGUGGAGGAGGUGGUGUUUGGGGAGUAAUAGAAUAUGGGGCUGUUUGGCUAAUAGGAUAGGAGUUCGGCUACGUGUAUGGAUCUGAUUGGCUAAUCCUGACAGAGAAAAUUUUGCCUAGUGAGAGAUGAUCUCGGGAAAGCAAAUAUAUUUGUUCGAGAAAUAUUAAAUUUUUAAUUCAUUUGCAAUAAAUUCAAUAGCAUAUGAUAUGAAAUAUUUACAUUCCAUAAACAAAUUUUCCCUUAUUUUGAUUUAGAUUUUUUUUUUAAGGUAUGGUAUCGGUAUAUUAAUACUAGAUUUUCUCAUAUAGAAAUAGAAUAAUAUGAAUAACUAUGAUAUCCCUCAUAGUUUCAACGGGAAAGUUCUCAAAAUUGUUUUUUAAAACUGUGAUAAUUUUGGAUUAAAAGUAAAUAAUAUCUAUACGAUUGGAUGUGAGUUACGAUAUUAUAUUUUUAUUUUUUGAUACGUGGAUUAUACACACGUUUUAAAAUAGCAAAGCCAUAUAGUCGGUGUAUUAUUUAAUAUUUGGAUAUUUUAUAAUUGUUAAUAAUUUUAUAGUUUUCACAUACGUGUUCCCAAUUUUAAAUAUUAAAACUCGUUUUAGGAAAAAAAAAUUUAAUUUCUAUAUCACAAAUAAUAAAAAUUAAUUUAAUUUACCAUGUUUGAGUUUUUACAUAAGCCCGUCUAAUUCCAUUAAUUCAUUUGUUUGAAAUUUUAUUAAAUACAUUUUAUGUCAUUAUUUUCUUUAGUUAGUUUUAUCGCUCAAGAUACAUGAGUUAUUUUAUAAAAUUUUAACGGAUGAGGAUUAAAUGUAUUUAACAAAAUCUUGAAAAUAAAUGAAUGAAAUUAAUCAUAAAUAAUAAUGCCUCCCUUUUCCAUACAUUUUUUUAGAAAAUCACUUAAUUAAAAAAAUACAUCUAUAUUAAUUAUCAAAUAAUCUUUAAUGUAAAAGUGAAUUUAGGUGAGAUUACUCAAUAUAAAUGUUUAUAGUAUGAUAUACAUAUUUGAACUCAAAUCCUAUAAAUUUUAAGUUUUUCGAAAAAUUGAUAAUUCAAUAUGAUAUCAGAGUUUUGUAUGAUAUGAGAUUGUAAACUCAAGCCCCUUCUCCACAAUUUGUAUGUUCGCUUCCCAGUCUAUUCCUCCUCUCCCCCCUACCUAAUUUGCAAUUCCGUGGUAUAACUCAACUCAGAGAUAAUGGAGAAAAUCUAUCACUACUGUGGCUAUUCAUAUUCAUCAGUCCAAUAUAACUCCAAAAGAGGUCAUUUUCAAUGUCUAUAUAAUACCAUGUUGCAUGUAGAUAUGAAGAUGAAUUGGUAACUGCUAGAAUCCAAUGUGUUGCAAAUUGCACUUCAAUUAUUGUUUCUGGAUUUGCUAAUUGCAAAGCUGUCUUCAUUUAUUUGAUGCUUAUCAUUAUUUUUUAACCUAUUGGUAAAAUAUAGGUGGCAAAUUUGUUAGGACGGUGGAAUUUGUACAUUAUGAUUUGAUUAUUAAUGUAAAAUAAGAUUUUUGGGUUGUCUUCUACUAUGGUCAAAAAUCUUGAUUAGUUAUUUUGCAUAUCAAUUUUUUCAACUUAAGUCGUAAAUGAAAUUAUGAAUAUGAAAACCAUUUUUUUUUUUACAGCAAAAGAACUUUGACCUUCAUUUUAACGAAGAAAAAAAAAACUAAGAGAAAUGUUUUUCUAUUGUCUUAUGGAGAGAGAUAAAAAAAAUAAGAAAAAACAUGGUUUUUUUUUUUUUUUUGGUCUUUAGAGAGAUUUUUUCACAGAAAAAGAAAAAGAAAAACUUUUCUUUUAAUAGUAUCAUGCUCUUUGAAAGUUUUAAACUUCAAAACACAGCUCCCUCGUUUUUUCAUUUUCUUAUUUAUUGGGUUAAAUCAGGUCAACCCAUUUGGGUGCCUAAUCCUAACUCCAACCGUUAUCAUAAAUAAGUGUUUCAAUUAUUCAUUUAUCAUUAAUUUACUUUUCUAACGAAUGAUAAAACUUCUUUAAACUUUCAAUAACCUGACUAAAAUGGCAUCGGACAACUUACAUUUAAUCUAUAUCAUGGAACGGUUUCGUACAAAAAUUACUUGGCAUUAAUGCUUAAUCACAUUGGAGGGCUAACCUAUUUUGUUUGAUACAUUGGACACACUUCAAUUAUUUAUACAGGCAAAUAAAACAAAAUUGUUCAUAAUUUUAUUCCUACUUGCAAAAAUGAGACAACCAAGUAGCCCUUAAAAUACUAACAAGCAUAAUUUGUAGAUUCUUAAGAAUGUAGGAGGCAUACUGAAUAUUGAAUACAUCUUUCAUAUUUUCAAUCAAUUGACUACCUUGUCUUAUAUCCAUAUCUCACAUUCAUAGGGUGGAUUAGAUUUAGUCCACUGAAAAUGAUGAUCACAAAAGUUUAUUAAAACAAAUGUGAGAUUGUGAUGUGAUUGAUACAAUUAUUUUUAUUAAAAAAAAGGGUCAAUUGUAUGAUUCAAAACAUCCAUACAUAUAUUUAAUUAAUUAAUUAUUAUUAUUUAUAAUUCAUGACCUCGAUUUUCCACUAAAGGAGUGGGUGGAAUUCUUGACAACCACUAAAAUAUGUGGGCAAGUUGUACUUUUUAUAUUUAUUUAUUAUUGUUAUUCAUUUUGUCAAUCCUUGAAUUGAUUAAGUCUAUGUUAUGGGAAAGUGCCAAUUUCUCUCUCCACGUGCAUAGCAUAUGACUAAUUUAUUAAAUUAGUGAAGCUUGAGAUCAACCUGCAGCUGCAUAAGGUAGGGAGAUUACAACUUUUGGUUCGAGGAAAUCAAGGAAACCUUUGAAGGAUUGAUAGAAAAGGGUUUGGUAUUAAUCAUUUGUGUAGCUUCUAUGCUUGAUGCUACUACUCCUAUUCAACCAUUAAUAUAUGGUUUUAAUUUUUUGUACUUAAAAUAGUAUUAAUUUGAGAAUGAAAGCUACUUUAUUGGUAUAAUUUGUAAGGAUUUGCGAUUAAUUUAAACAUAGCCGCUCGUAACCCACCAUAGAACCCUUUUUUAUUUUUUUUUCAAAUUCUUUAUUUGUGAAACUAUUUCAUUGAAAACAAGUUUUAUAAAAUUCAAUAUGGUUUUUGGGAUUUCUCAUCUGAUCGCUCCCGUUAAGCCAAGUUUGAGUAGGUGAUUAUGUUAUUAGAAUUCUUAGGUUUAGGACCGACAAGAGAUCCUCGUGAGUCAAGCUAAAAGCGGUAAGAUGUUAUUUAAAUUGACUUUUGAGAAUUAAAAAUUAUUUUUUAAAUUUAAUAAGAAUUUUUAUGUUUAUUUUGUUAUUUUUAUUUAAAACACUUAGUAGAAACUUAAUUUUAGGUUAUAAAAAAAGCCCUUCUAUAUUUGAUAAAAUCUUUAUAAUACCAAUACCAAAAUUUCAAAAUUAUCUUUUACCUUGUGAUGAAAGCCCAAAAAAAAAAAAGGAGUAAUGCCAUGUGAGGCAUAAGAGGCCUUAGCCCACACCCCACCAUUUACAAAGACAACAAAACCUUGGACCUGGGCCUCGGAGCACAGGCCCAAUGGGAGAAGAAUGGGUGGUCCUCUAUGAAUUUGUACGUUACAAUACUUCAUAUAUGGACUUGAAUGAUGUUCUUAAUUGCUGGAUUUUUUUAAAGAUAAAUGGGAUGGGAUAGUCUCAACAUCAUCAACUUCAAAUCAAUAUUUGUUGAUUCAUUUUCCUUUUUCAGCCUCUUGAAUCCCCAUGCACGUAACGGAUGUUGCUCUCACGAUUUCUCACUAUAUAUACAAACCACAGCAUACAUGCUUCCGCACUCGAUCGACAUGGCUCUGAUGCUGAAGCUCUUUCUUUUCACUCUUCUCUCUGCAUGGAGCCUGGGAUCCAUGGCUUCCGCACGGUACCUGGACAAGAGCUUCAGCCUUGCUGCUCGAUUACAUGCGGACGACGACUCAUCAUCCAAGUGCUGGGAGUCUUUGCUUGAGCUUCAGGCAUGCACUGGAGAGGUUGUCCUGUUCUUCCUCAAUGGUGAGACUCACCUUGGGGCCGGCUGUUGCCAAGCCAUUCAGACCAUUGAGCACCAAUGCUGGCCUGCCAUGCUUACUUCCAUUGGUUUCACUGCCGAGGAGGGCGACAUCCUCCAAGGUUACUGUGAUGCAACCACAUCCUCUUCGGCUCCCCCACCACCACCACCACCACCAUCCAUGGAGCCUAAUGACGUGGUUACCUUGGGUGGCUUUUUCCUCGAUCCUUAGUAGAACGCGUUCUUACUAGCAGUUAUGUCUUUUACAUAUAUCUGAUCCGCUAGUCUAAAUAUAUACAGAAAAGGGUGUUUGGAAUUAAUGAAUGAUUUCCUAUAUAUUGCCCCAUAUUUGUUGCAAUUAAAUUCCAUUUCUUGCUUGAAAAAAAGGUAUAAUAAUUUCCCAUCAUUGAUAGCACUAGUAGUUGUCUUUUAUGGGCUGGACGAGACACACAGAUCGACCCACAAUUCUGCUUACCCAGCCCAUGCUCAGUGGUUUGGACUAACAUAAUUGGAGGCCCAAAAGGGAUAUCAAUAAUAAGAUAAUGUUUGGAAGAUGAGUCUAUUUUUGUAUCUAGAUAAGACCAACUCAUCCCCCUCUAAUUAAUGGAGAGGUAACGGCGUGAAGGGCAAGAUUCUCAAGGACUCAAAAGCCUUUUUGCUUUGAUUUUCCAUCAAGGCAUCAGUGCCAUACACAUAAGUCCAUAAGGUAAUGAAUAAGGAGCGUCAAAUCAGGGUGGGAUGCGAAUAUGCGGAUUGAAAGCCAAGUAUUGAUUUUAGUGGUAUGAGGUGGGUCGUGUAUGGAUGGUGACAUCUAACUAUAAGUCUCUCAAAAGACUUCAAACUUCCCCCCAUCUCCGCCUUCUUUCAUGCUCUUUCCACUCUUCUUUUAACGUAGUAAUUUUUUUUCCCUUUGGGUAAUUAGGAUCUAAGCAUGGAAGAAGAGAAUAUUCGGAUGAGUGUUUCAAGAGUUCUUGGCUUUCUACACAUUGUUACUUCAUUUUCAAGCUGAGGAAUCAAUUGGUCAUUUGUUAUGUGCUUGUUUGUGAUCAUUGGGAAGCAGAUUUAGGGUUUUGAAAGGUCAAAUGCUAAUCAACAGAAGAAGAAAUUUACACCCCAUGCCAACAUAAAGAGAUAAUUGUGGUUAGGAUAGAUUUCAUAUAAUUAACUUCAACUAACUUCUCAUGACCUGCCAUUCCUAGUCAUCAUUCAGUUAGUUAUUUCCUUGCUAUGCCCAUGAUCGAUGCAUCGACCGUUUGCCACUUGUUUUCAUCCAAAAACCUGUCAUUUUCUCUCCGAUCUCGAUCCACUAGAAUGGAUCAAACUGGAUUCUUUCUUCCUCUGGAAUAAUGUAAAGCUAGACUAAAAUUUUAUACAUUCCUCUAUUGGUUGAUGGUUUAUUAAUGGUGAGAUAUCUUGUACAAAUUGAAUCAUCAAGGUCAUUGGAGUGGUGUCCUUGUUGACUAAUUAAUGGGUCCAUGUUUCAUGAUCAUAAGGCCAUCUUGCAUGAUUCAAAUAUACCCUAUUGAAAUGGUAUACAUACACAUGCACAUUGUUCAAAAACGCCCUAGAAAAAGGAAAGGAGGAUAAAAAGAAAUACAAGUCGUCCACUAGUGCCAUAUGUGGAAAAGUAGUGAGCAUACAGAUCUCAACUCCCCUAGAGAAAAUUGUCCUCGUAUGGAACCUCAACAAUGAAUUCUAGAGAAAGCUGUCAAGUGAUCACAGUCCAGAUGAAUCUUGAUUUAGAAGUUAGAAAAAUGAAGGGUUGUUAGGUUAGGGUAGUUAGUCAAUGGCACAAAGAUGUUAUCUUAAAAGUUGUGGAGGAGAGGAGAGGAGAGGAGAGAGUCAGAAAAAAGAAUGAACCUAUCAGAAGAAAGUAAGAAACAUCAAACUAUAAUCUUAUUAACAUGGAACGAUAAUCAUGAUAAAGCCACACAACAAGGGUUUCACAAGGACACACAGAGAGACCCAGGAAACAAGACACAAACUCAUCCAACAUAGCUCAGACAUAGAAAUUAUUUAGCAUAGUUGCUCACUGGCAAUUGUAAAUCUAAUUACACAACAAGCACACAUGCAUGCGUCUAGAAAAGAUGGUGAUGCUUCUUUCCAUGAGCCUCUUCAUCUUCUUCCUUGGCUUCUUUCUUCUCGUGAUGCUCGUGGAACGCGAACCCGCCAGCUCCCACUGCAGCAGCCGCGGCAAUCUCUUCUUCUAUCUUGUGCUUGUGGGCAUGCUCAGGGUCUUUCUCCGACUUGUGCUUCUCAUGCUAUAAUUCAAGCAUCAUCAAGACGAUAAGAAAUAGUUCCUUUGUAUAAAAUUAAUUAAAACAAAAAUAUUUUCAAACUUCAUGACACACGGGGCAUUACCAAGGCGUAAGCGCCAGCAGCAGCGACGCCGAGCUCGCCGAGGUGCUCGAGAUGCUUGUGGUGCUUCUCCUCCUUCCUGUAGUCAGGGCCUGGGUCAUCUGCUAACACUUCGGUGGUUUCGGCAGCGUAGCCGCUGACACCAUCGGUAGCAUAGCUGGUGUCGGAGUAGGUGGUGUCGGAGUAGGGAACGGCGUCGUCAACAGGCUUGUCCUUGUGGUGGAAGAGGUGGUGGUGAUGCUUCUCCUCCGACAUGGUGGUGGUGAUCAAAUUAGCUGCAGAAACGAGAGAGGAAGAUGGUUUGUGAACUGUGAAGGUGUGAUGUGGGAGAGUGCAGUGGUGGGUGGUGGGGUAUUUAUAAAUGCUGGUUGCGAAGGUGUCCAAAGAUCGUGGGAGAGAUGAAUGGGUAUUGGGAAUGGCCCGAAUGGGUGGGGCCUCACCAUUCACCAUUCUUAUCUACAUUUUUCAAAUCUCGAUGGCUCCUACUCUGUCGAUACUUUGUUUUUGUGUCGGCAAUUUCAUUGGAUCUUUAACCACGACAUUUUUUAACCACAUUUUUAGAUUUCCGUGAUAUUAUCAUAAUUGUUUUUGUUAGUCAUUCGUUGGAUUUAUUUCAAAAGUAGGAAAAUGUUUGAAAAAUAUACAUCAUCAUUUGCGUCUUUGAUCCACUCUCAAUAGGAAAUAAAUAAAUAAGAAAAGAAAACCACAAAGUCUCAGGUAGCAAAGAGUCCAUAUCAAAGUAUCAAACCUUUUUAUCGAUGAAUAUUUUUAGGAAGAACAAUCUAUUAUUUGUAAAAUAAUUUUUAUAUAUUGAGUGAUAACCCUUCAAUUCGAUAUCGUUAGAUCAUUAAGGUCGGCUUUUGUCCCUAUUCGACGGGUGGAUCUUGUAGUCAAACUCCCUUUUACCUUUGCACUCAAGGUCCAUCUUUGUUUUGCUUGAGAAAACCUUUGUUAAUUUCCAUUACCUUUUGAGAGACUUACGCUCUAUAAAAAUUAUUUAUCUAUUCCUUGACGAGGAAAUUCAAAUUCUUUUACUUAAAUUUAUUUUAUAAAACAUUAAAAAAGGUUAAAUAUAAUAAAAUUAUUAAAAAUUUGAAUUUAAGAAAUCAUUUAUUUUUUAAAUUUUGACAUGAACAUAUAUGGGUAAAAAACAAAAAGAGACAAAAACAAAAUAUGUUUUUUUGUGCAGUAAUCAAUUAAAAAAUCACUUUCAAUUUAAUAAAAGAUGUAAUUUUUAAUAUUAAAGCUUAGAGAAAAAAGAAUUGACUUGAUUGGAAUGAAUUACAAAAAUCACACCCCAAUGAAGAGGAACCCCAUACAGCACCUCCUUUCCUUUUCAUAAAGCAAAGACCUUUCAUCAGUAGGCAUGUGAAGGAGGGAAAUGAACUUGGCAGAUUCCACCUUAAAGUGCUAAAACAUGGCACUUGCCCCUCUUUCUAAUCAAACUUAACCCCACCUACAUUAUCUACAUUAUUUAUUGUACAUUAUCUUUCUCCAACUAAUACUAGUAUUUCACAUCUCACAAUUUUUUUAUUCUAUUGGAUGUGAGUCUAUUAUUGCAGUUAGGUCAGCUAAUCAGGAUCCCAUGGAUAAGGUGCCACAUAUUAAUAUUUUAGCCUUUUAGGUGUUGCUAUUCAUCCUCCUUUAUGACUUGGGCUCCAUUUCUUUGCUUGAACCUCACUUUUAGGGUAAUUUCUUUUCUUGGACUAUUAGUUUAUUUGUUGCACAUAAAAAGGCCACUUUAAUGGCCGUCAAACUUUGAUAAAAUAUGUCUUAUUUUGUACUUUAAGGUGGUGUUUAUUUUUUAAUUGAAUAAAAAAAAAAUAAAAAUAUUUGAUUUUUUCUAUUUAAUUAAAAGUAAUUUGUUGAGAUCGUUCAAUGUAACUAAAAUGAACUUGUUAUCAAUAAAUUUACUUUAGUUAUGUUAGACAAUAUUAAUAGGUUACUUUUAAUUGAAUAGAAAUAAAAGUCAUUUUAAUUAUAUUGGACAAUAUUAACAAGUUAUUUUUAGUUGAAUAGAAAAAACUAAAUAUUUUAAUUUUUUUUAUUCAGUCAAAAAACAAACAUCACCUAUAAAAAUUGAUAACUUUUAUAUAUUUGUACUAUGGUAGAUGGGCUUGGCCCACUUGGGCGUAGGGUAGAUAUUUGAAUUUUGAACAGAAAAAAAAAAAAGGGAAAAAAGGAAAAAAGGAAAGGGGAAAGAGAAGGAGAAGAUAAAUCAAUAAAUCAUAAAAGCAGGAAGGAGAGGUGGAAAAUGGUCCUCUGGUCUGGACCAGGAGAAAGUGGCCGGUGAUGGGGCCCAUUGGGUCUGUGUCGGCAAGGCCCCAUUUAUUUCGGCAUCAAUAUACCUGCCUGAUUGGUUCCAUGCCUGCCAUAUGUUUACGCUUUUGUCAAUUAUUAUAAAAAACAACUUCUUUGUCAAUAAACUCUUUAAUUUUUACUUCUCUAUCGUCUUUAAUGGGUGUGAAAAAAGUCAUACAUGCCUAUUGUAUUCUUCUCCUUUUUAGUAGGUAAAAACCUACAGGCUAUCCCUAAACUGAAUUUUAUAAUAUUUCAGAAAAUAUGAAAUUUAUUUUUAAUUAAUAAAAAUUUGGAUUAAAUAUCAAUCAUAAUUUCAUAACUGAUAUGGCCGGUGAUAAAGAACGAGUGAGUCACGCUAGGGCCACGGAUGUAUCACAUUCAUGGUGUGCCUGGGCUUAGUGGUUGAUGUGAAAUAGAUAUAGGUGUAGCGCAUAGUGUAAACGGGCCCAGGGAAAUUCAAAAUCGCGUUGCCACGUUCCAUAGAAAGGACAAGAAAUUAGAAGCUGGGAGUGGUCCACGUCUUCCAGGUAACCCCCACGCUGCUAACGAUUAUUCAAUGCCUUCCUACUCCAAAUCAAACCUAAUGUUCAACAUCGACAUGUCUCAUAUGACACAUCCUUAUAGAUGAAGUUGGUGAACUGUGGAGAAGAGAGAGUAAGGGCGUGUGAGCGGAGAUAAUUCACAAUUGAUUGGCAGGUUUCGGAUAUUUUCUUCGGCUUUGUCCUGGGUUUUUGGAAAGGUUUGAUUGGCCCGACCCAAUCCUACAACCCAUACUAAACCACACAAUCGAAUCCUACGAGAGACCAAACCCAACCUUAAAUCAAGUUCCUCAUUAUGGGCUUCAUAGCCCAACUUAGCACUCCAGCCCAUCCUAACAUUGGGAAAAAUAAAUUAAUGAAAAUUAAGACUAGAUAUGAAUAAUUUCUUUUAUUAUCUUAAACUGCUGAAAGGGAUUAGUUAUCCUACACAGCUUGAACAGAAAAAGAGCCCUCUAAAACUCACCUACUUGAGAUUUAAGGCAUAAAAAAGUCCUUACCUUAAUAAUUGUAAGAGAUCGUUGGAUCAAAUGAUUCAAAUCUGGGACUUGCUCACACAAUCAAUCCAUUUCAUGAGACGAAUUACCAGUGAGGCUCUCUUCACCAUCUACAAGAUUUCGGAUGUAGCGAGUCAAGUAAGAACUUGGACCAUAGCAAAUGCUUGAUAAAAACCCUCCAUACAGUAAGCAAUGGAUGCCAAGCUUAAACAGAUUUUUCCUCUCUUGGUUGGUGUCUCUCUGUGCUUCAUACCCACCAGUACUUUCUUCAUCCCAACUCGAAGAAUCCAUGGCAGUGCAGCCUGAAUGAGCCUGAAAACCCCAGAUCUUGGAAGUUUCCAUCUUUUGCAGCCAGUUGGAAUCAAUGGGAUCUUUAAAUUUUUUACAAAGAUGGUGUCCCUGGAUCAGAAAACUCCAAACUUUUGGUGUAAUACUUGAGACACAGUUAAGGAACUGCUUAGAUAUGUUCUCCAAUCCUCCAUUAUGAGCUUGACUCCCAAAAAAAUUGGCCUCGAAUUCAUCUGCUAGUGAGCACUCAUUGCAUUUAUGACUCUGAAGAGACGAAAGAUUUAGAACAGGCAACCUCCCUUUCACAAAGGAAUUCAAUAGUGAGCUUCUAGCAAGACUUAAAAGGGACUCCCCAGCAUUCAUCCAGAAGUUUGCAAUUGAUGCGAUCAAAGAAGAGUCAGAGAGGAAAAUACGGUGGGUUGCACCUGCAAGCAACAAGGAGUAUGCUGCACUGGUCUUGAUCAAGCUCAAGGCUUCCAGCUCAUCUCCGUCCAUUUCAGAAUGCAGAUCCAGUAAUUGACUAGCACGGACUCUGUAUGCAGAAGCCAGUGUUGUGUAGGCGGCCAAAGAGAGAUGGUGCAGGGGGUGCAACUUGAAAUUUGCUUGUGAUUUUCCCUCAAUUGGUUCUAACUGCUCAUCUGGAAGACCUUGAGCAAUAACAUUCUCAAGCUUCUCACAGCAAGCUUCAGGGUUGCCAACUGACAAAUAGUCAGCUAUAGCAUCAUCUACAUAAUCAGUCAACUUUCUGAUUUCCUCCUCUCUACACAUGUUAUCAUCUAUGUAAUUGAGACUAUGAGCCAAAGUUUCCUAUAGGGAAGAACAGAGAAAUGUCAAUCCUUGUUUUAUGACAGUACUAGAAUUCAGGCACUUCAAUUGCAGAUUAAAAAAUGCUUGUGAAGUUCAGACUUCAGAGUUGAUACAGAAAUAUUGUGAGUACUUCACCGUACAAAGUGGCCCCCGAAAAAUAACCAGAGUGGACAAGGGAAAGGAUAAAACAGGAUGAGAAAAGCUACUAUGAAUUACUCAAUAGCUUUUCCUAGUUCCAAUUGAUAUGGAGAAAAAGACUCCAACUGUCUGUCAGCCUUUUGAGAAGGAAAAAGCAGAUGUAACUAAGGGAGACAACUUGAAGAAACAAAAGAUAUGAAAGGCAAAGAAGAAAAUAAAUAGCACACAUACAGAUUCUGGAUGCAGCUCUAAUUGCAAAUGACGCAGCUGACUCAAGGGAGAGAAGCUCUAGGGCUGGUUUAGUUUGCAAGUUGGACAUAUGUACUUUGGUGUGCCCCUUUUGGCAUUUUAAUACAAUUUGCACUUACCUAUCAAAAAAAAAAAAAAGUUUGCAAUUUGGACAUAGAAAAGGCUUAUGACCAUGUUGAUUGGAAUUUUCUCCUCCCAGUAACGAAAAAGAUGGAGUUUGGUCUAAAAUCGAGAAAGUGGAUUCAUUUUUCCAUUGUAAGGAUGUCAAUCUUAGUCAAUGUUUCUCCUUCAGAUUUCUUUCAGACAUCUAGAGGAUUGUGGCAGGGUGAUCCUCUCUCACCCUAUCUCUUCAUGAUUGUCAUGGAAGCUCUACAUUGUAUACUCUCAAGGGCUGACUAGGGAGUGUUCAUUCAUGGCUUCAAGGUCAGGGGCAGAAGGGGUGAAGGUUUCCAAGUAUUCCAUCUCCUGUUUAAGGAUGAUAGAAAAAUUUGGAUCAACUAAGAUACUGGAGGUGGAUUGUAAUAGGCUUCAAGGUUGUGUUAGGUCUGAAAAUAAACCUGUAAAAAAGUAACUCAUUCUAAUGGGGAAAGUGGAGGAUGUGGUGAGAUCAUCAUCUUUGCUUGGGUGUAAGAUUGGAAGGCUUCCCACUUCUUAUCAUGGUUUGCCCUUUGGAGUGCUUCAUAAGUAUUGCGUUGUAUGGGAUGCUGUCAAGGAAAUGUUUGGUAAAAGAUUGGCUUCUUGGAAGGUGUGGUAUUUGUCAAAAAGAGGAAGAUUAGUUCUUUCAAAGAGCACUUUCUCAAGCUUAUCAAUCUAUUUUAUGGCCUUUUUUUCUAUUUCCAGGAAAGUGAGGAUCAAAUCAUAAAGGAUUCAGAGAGACUUUUUGUAAGGAAAUCUUUGGUAAACCAAUAAGAUGCAUUNNNNNNNNNNNNNNNNNNNNNNNNNNNNNNNNNNNNNNNNNNNNNNNNNNNNNNNNNNNNNNNNNNNNNNNNNNNNNNNNNNNNNNNNNNNNNNNNNNNNAGGAAGAACAUCCAAAGAAAGUGCAGGGAACUGGUCAAGGGGUGGAACAUUUGUGAGGUGAGGGAGACUUCUGGUAUAAGCCUAUGGAAAGACUUAAGAAAAGGUUGGGAGGAAUUCAACCACAGGAUAGCUAUCCAAAUUAAAAAUGGUAGCCAGACAAAAUUUUAGAGGGAUGGGUGGGUGGGUGGGGGGGAACUGUUUGAAAGAAGCAUUUCCUCUAUUGUUUAGUCUAGCUUCUCAAAAGAAUGCCAUUGUUGCAAACAUGUGGGAUGGGAGAGGUAGUGGAGGCCAGUGGGUGCAUUUCAAAAGGCCAUUCCAAGAUUGGGAAAUGGAGGGGGUGUCCUAAUUUUUAGAACUUAUUUAUUCAUACAGCAAAAGUGCAAGAAGAAGGGAAAGAUAUCUUAGUUUGGAAGGAGGAUAGGAAGAGAAUCUUCAGUACUAAGUUGUACUACAGUUCAUUGUGUGCCGAAUUUAGAGUGGACUUCCCAACCAAAGAAAUUUGGGGGCUCCCAAGCUCUUACGAGAUCAUGUUUUCUCACUUGGGAAACAGUAUGGGAGAAGAUCUCAACCAUAGAUUUGUUAAUGAAGAGGGAUGGACAAUGUUAAUAGAUAUAGUCUUUGCAAAGAGAGUGAUGAGUCUGCUGAUCAAAUUUUCAUUCACUGUGCAAUGACAAAGGUAUUAUAGAUGUUUGUUUUAUCAAUUUUUAGUUAGAAAUAAGUUUCUAGCUACAGUGAGGAAUAUGCUUCUCAAGUGGAAGUUUUUAAGGUAUUGGACAAGAAGAGUCACCAUCUUUGACAAAUGACACCCCUCUGCUUAUUCUGGUGUAUAUGGAAAGAGGGAAACCAUAAAAUCUUUAAUGGGGAAGAGCUUGCAUAUUAGAGAUUAAAAGAGAGCUUUAUUAAAUCCCUCUUUGAUUGGUCCAAAGUUCUGUUAGAAAUGGGCAAUUCUGAAUGAUGGCUUUCGUAAAUGGUCUUAGUUGUGGAUAGUUUGGUUUUGAGUUGAGGUUGUUUUUUUAUUCGUUGUUUUGUUUUUUUUGUGUUUACUCCCAGUAUAUGUAAGGUAUGCCCCCUUUCAUUGGCAUGCUCUUUUAAUAUAUUAUCCUUUUGCUUAUCAAAAGAAAAAAAGAAAAAAGAAAAAAGAAAAAUAAAGAGAACACAUAAAUCAGGGGAAGGAUGAAGGAAUUAAACCAAUAGGAAUGAGAAACAGUUGGGUAUAUUUUUUCGACAGAUACUUCAUGCAGCAGGGGCAAGAUGGGGGAAAACCUUACCACUCCUGGUGCCAUAAAUGUGGCAUAUAUGCAUCGUGUUCUAACUCCACACCUAGUACUAUAAUUUUCACAGAAGACGAUCACCCUUCCCCACCCAGCAAAUCUAAAAUCAAGUUGCAAAAUGAAUCUUCUAGACUGCUUUCGGAUUUCUCCUAAACAUCAAAAUAAACAAAUGAUAGGCAUACUGUUCCAUAGAAGUCUUACUUGCAAAACAAGAUCCACAUAAGUAGGGGGCGAUGCAUUACAACGGUUACAGCAACAGGAAAACCAAUACUUCACCCAUAACUCUGCAUGUCUAAUUUCCUGGAAAAUCAAAUCAGUGCAAAUAAAAGCGUAUAACGUGAACUCAAAAAACUAAAAAAAAAACAGAGUAUAGAAGGAUGAGUUGGAACACAUUUUAGCACAAUGCCACUGAGUUCACUUACACUAUGGUGAUUAUGCAAGUAAUAUAAAAUCAUGCAACUUCUCAUUAGGUCGACUCCUUGUCAUUUUUCGCAAUCACUUCAAACAUAAGGCACAAUGCAAUAAUCUAAAAGCUUAAAAGUAAUAGCAGAUAUGCCAAAUUUACAAGCACAUUUUGCACAUUCAAUCUCUUAACAGUGGAACUGUAGAUACUGAAAAUGAAGAUUACCUUAGGCUGCAACAGGUCUAUGUAUGCAACCCACACCUCCUCACCCUUUUUAAUUGCCUUGAUGCUCCGAACGAUGAUUCUUGGCCCGUGUAUGUUGCAUCCUUUACUAGAGAAAAUCAAUUACAAGUAGAUAAUCAAAAUAUCCAAUAAAUUCACAACUGAUUUUUUUGAGAAACCAAAUUGAAAAAAACAUAAAAUAAUUAAAAUAAAAAAGAUUCAAUCACCUUCUAUUGAUUCACUUUUGCUACGAACAGCAUUCUGUAUCUGAAAAACAUUUCGGUUUCAUAAUUUUCAAAUCCUUUGAAUAUGGUUAAAAUUAAAGAAACAAUUCAGAAUUUAGGAAUAGUGAUCUAUUUUUCUUUACUUCAAUUUCAUCAUUGCCUCCAGGGAUAAUCUGGAGCCUCGACUCGCCAGAAAACUGGGGCGUCUCAGGUGAACGGAGCAAGAAACGGUAACAAGCAUUGGGAGAACAGCUGUGAUUGAUCCAAGAGAAGCACCAAUCGUAGACGGCUAUCCCUAGGGCGGACCCUCCAUUAACCUGCACUUCAACUGCAUUGGUGAGGACCAGGCAGAGCAGGGCCUCCUCCAGUUUGGAGUCCCCGGAGAAUUCCGUACCAUCUCGCAUACAUCGGGCAACGGCCAUGGCCUUGCCGCCGUCUCGGAUUCUCGUCAGAGUCUCAUCACUUUCCGAGUUGUGGGAGGGUGAGAUGAGGUGGUGGAGGUUGGUGAGUAGGCCGCAGAUUCGAUGGAGCGGUUGGGUAUGGAGGGGAGGGAGGUGGAGGAUGUGGAGGAGGCGGAGGGCAGCACGGAGGUCGGAGGAGUGAGCGGUGGAGGGGUGGGAAUGGCGGAGGAGGAGGAAGAGGUGGUGCUCGGCGCUGGAGAAGUGGAG
rnacentral:lncRNA from 1 species